GAUGAACGCUGGCGGCGUGCCUAAUACAUGCAAGUCGAGCGAACAGACGAGGAGCUUGCUCCUCUGACGUUAGCGGCGGACGGGUGAGUAACACGUGGAUAACCUACCUAUAAGACUGGGAUAACUUCGUGAAACCGGAGCUAAUACCGGAUAAUAUAUUGAACCGCAUGGUUCAAUAGUGAAAGACGGUUUUGCUUUCACUUAUAGAUGGAUCCGCGCCGCAUUAGCUAGUUGGUAAGGUAACGGCUUACCAAGGCAACGAUGCGUAGCCGACCUGAGAGGGUGAUCGGCCACACUGGAACUGAGACACGGUCCAGACUCCUACGGGAGGCAGCAGUAGGGAAUCUUCCGCAAUGGGCGAAAGACUGACGGAGCAACGCAGCGUGAGUGAUGAAGGUCUUCGGAUCGUAAAACUCUGUUAUUAGGGAAGAACAAAUGUGUAAGUAACUAUGCACGUCUUGACGGUACCUAAUCAGAAAGCCACGGCUAACUACGUG
rnacentral:rRNA from 1 species